CCAUCUCUCCUCCACCACCCCACUCUGUCCCCCGUCCCCCUCCCCACAUGCAAACACCCAUCCCCGGAUCUUUGCCGUCGGAGCUUGAACAGUGUGGCGAAUGGUAAUAUUUAGCUGUUGACAAAAUAUGUAUGUGGCUGUAGCGGGAAAACUGGAAACGGGGGGUUGGGGGGCUUUGCAGAGAGACAAAGAUGGAGAAAGCUGGGAAAGAACGGGAGAGACAGGAGAGGAAGCUGGGAGGGGGCAGCUAAAGCAGAUGGUACGCUUGGCAUCCACCUCUCUCUUAAAUCUGUUUCUGCUGUUUUUCUCAUGUGCAAGAGGCUUUAACCCUGCGGUAACCUGUGUCCCGGCCUGACCCCGCACCCCACUGCUGUACGUAACAAGCCCCUGUGGGUGUGUGUGUGUGUGUGUACACACACACACACACACACACAGGUUCAUCUCUAAUCGGCACCCUAUGGAAACGAGCUGUUUAACUGUCAUGAGUGAGAGCAGCCUCCACUUCUUCUUUUCCUUCAUUUAUUCCACGGCUGCAGUUGCCUUUGGUGUGAGUUCAUACAAUAUAAUGUGUAAAUCCGUAGAGACUAAUGCAUUAAUUCAAUCUAAUGCAUAAUAUGCCACUGAAGUACUUCAAUCAAUUUAACUGCAAUUAGUUUAACAUUACUUGAUGUUUGCCUUGAAUACAGUAUUUCCACUUUAAAUAGUUUUUAUUAUUUUAGGAUUAUAAUUGCACUCACAAAAUCAGUUCAGAAAACAAGAAAACAAUUGUUGUAGAUUCAACCGUUAUAUGAAUGAAUUGAUAAUAUGUACAUAUUAAUAGAUCAAUAACAGUGAUCCGAUAACGUCUUCACUGUGUGGUUUUUCUACUUCCACUUACAGCCUGAACACUUCCUCCUCUGGUUCACAUGGCACACAUUCUCCACCCACCGCUACGCUCCAUUAGUUUGUUUUGAGCUUCGUAUCAGACGAACAACUUAUCAUUAUCUCAGCCAUGCAAGCUCAGCAAAUAUUUUUUUCUGGUGGUCUUUUCUUUUCAUUUUUUUUAAUGGCAGAUUCUGAAAAGCAACAAUAAGACGCUGCAGCCGGGUGUCUGAUGGAGCAAAUAUUGUGGAGUGCUUCACCCACCUGGGACGUGCAGUGUGUAUUUAGGCCACAUCCGCCUCUCACUGAGGAGGAACAUUCAUGCCGCCGACUCCCGUGCGCGCUCCCAUAGACGGACUAUAGAUCUGACUGAAUGCACAUCACUUAUAUGUGGGGUGCCGUGGAGCUGGGAGCUCAUUUGCAUAAUCUCCCAUUUAAAGAGGGAUGUGCUGGAAGCCGGGUGGGGGGUUGAUGGGAAGGGCUCGGGUGGGUAGUUUGGAGAGGGUGGGGGGGUGUACAAAGUGCCCAUUGUGCAGUCCCAGGAUAGGGAAAAUGCCCCGUAGGGCCUGAUUUGUGAUUGUGUGUGUGUGUGUGUGUGUGUGUGUGUGUGUGUGUGUGUGUGUGUGUGUGUGUGUGUGUGUGUGUGUGUGUGUGUGUUGCUGGAUAUAGGUUGUGGUCUGUGAGCACGAGUUGGCGCGCAAAGUUGAACUUUGCGGCUGUCCCGGCUUUCUUACCAGCGCCUAAACAUUCAGCCGAGGUUGGCACAAGAUGCCCAUUGAGCGCACACACACUCACGUAUGCAAUCGUAUCCUUUAUAAGGUGGCCACCAAUGUCAUGGCAACCCCAUAUACUCAGCAAGAGGGAAGAUGCACUGUGCCAAAAAAAUGCCAUGGUAACUUUUUUUUUUUUUUAAUCCACGUUGCCCAGAAACCUUUGUAGCUUAUUAAGUGAAACCAGUAGACAAAUGGACUGAGAGCGAGGGGGGAGGGAGAGAGAAAGAUGGGAUUGCGUGCUGUUCCAGGGCCAAAGUGGCUCUUUGUUUUAGGGAAGGGAGCAUUGUGAACCUGCAGUGAGGAGGCACAGAUAGCUCGCUUACACUGCUUUCACUCAGGGGUUUUCAGAUUAGUUAAUUUAAAGUUCUUUCUACUACGAUUAAAGCUGCAAAUAUGAAUUGUUUGGUUGUAAACUAAUGAUUGAACUGACCAACCCUUUUGAUAAUUGAGGAAUCACUGUUUUUUAUUUUCUUUUUUUCACUAACAUCUUUUUUUUCAAUACAAAAAAGGGAAUAUUUUUGUUAGUCCUUCUCUCUGACAGUCAACUUUUUAAACAGAGAUGUCACCUUUGGGCUUUGGGGACCGCUGAUUGGCAUUUGCACCAUCUUCUGACAUUUGAUACCAAACAACUAUCAGAUUAAUAGAGACUCAUGAAGCCACGAUGGUGGAUUGAGUUGUGAGCCAUGUGCUGCACACACAUGCGUAGUUAUGUGUGCAAUCGCAUUUCUACUCAUGAUUAUUAAGCUGCAUGCAAAGUGCGUGCGUGCGCAUCUCUCUGUGCAGGUGGGGGUGUGCGCGUGCCCUUUACAGUGUAAUUAAAUCAGCCUAUUUCUCCUUGAGUUAGCUCGCGGCGCCAGCGGUGCUGCCCAGAGAGACGGUGUCGGGCUCUGCCAGUUUCAUUAGUCCUGAUGGAUGACCUCAUGACAAGCAUUACGCUCACCUGCACUUCAAAAAGAGCACACAUCGACUUUGGACCAGUGGAAAAGGGAAUGUGUGCGCUUGUGUACUUAUGCCAAGGGGAACAACAGCAAGACUAUUUUAUUUCAUGCCCUGGUGCCCUGAAACUACUAAGUGUGUAUGUGUGUGUGUGUGUGUGUGUGUGUGUGUGUGUGUGUGUGUGUGUGUGUGUGUGUGUGUUGUAUGCAGACAUGUGAACAAUUACUUCUUGAUGUGUUUAAUCGUGUGUGUGAAAGUACAGUAUGCAAGCACCAGUGUGAGCUGGUUGUCCCCCUGUUCACUGUGUGUGACGGCGUCGCUGUGCGCAUGUGCGCCUGCACUGUGCACCGGGGGGCAGGCCUCUGCGCUUAGUUUUGAUUUUUUGGUGGCGAUUUCCAUAUUGCCUGGGGUCAUGUGGGCACCGUGCCCACUCCCGGUGCUGUGGGUGCCCGCUGAGGCGUGGGGAGAUUAAAGCGGGCGCACGGUGCCACAAAGGGGCCUGUCUAGUGCUUUUUAAUUCCCCUAAAUUAGGGCACGGUGCCAAGGCGGCUCCCUGCUCCGGCAAACACUCCAUAACUGGCACCGUAACUACUGCUCAGCACGACACACACAGAGAGAGAGAGAUGCUGAAGACUUGCAGAAAACAUUCCCUCACUCUCUCUUUUUCACACACUUGCUUGCUUACUUGUAAUUAGCGAACCGUUUCUGGUUUGCAGGGAGACUGCUUCGGUAAUUCGCUGUCAUUCACAUCGCUCCGGCCCUAUUCACUGAGUUUGGUUGCAGUGAUGUCAAAAGCACCAGUGGAGUGGGCACAAAGUGUGUGUGUCUGCAUGUAGUUUUUCUGUGUGUAUGUGUGUGUAAAUCUGCACACCCCCAGGGCAGUGGCACGCUACUAAAGAAACAGUAGGUGGACGCUUGGUUGGUAUUUGUGUGUGUGUCUCUUUGUGUGUGUGUGUGUGGAUUCAUGCCCUCGGGGUAGUGGCGUGCUGCUGAAGGGCCAGUGCGCGGACACUGGGUUGUGUGUGUAUGUCAGGUCUCUGAGGUCCUCUUCUCUGUCUGUCUCAUCCAAAUGCACUUUCGUUGGCUGCAGGACUUGCUGUCAGAGCGCUGCCAGGGCCGACCGCUUCCUCAUCGCAUCUCUGAUAGUUUAUACGUUCCCGCCGUUUGAUCCGCCGUUUCCACCAGGUCACUUUCAUUACACUGAAGCACAUUCCGGGCUCUUUGCUUUGUCGUGUCUGCAUUUUCUGCUCCUGUCUAAUGUUCACUCAGCAUGUGAAGUUGUGAUGAGCGUUUGCAGAGAGAAUAUAUGGCGUUUGCGUGUGCGUCUGUUUGCGCGUGCGUGCCGGUCUGAAUACAAACACCGGCGUUAAUCCCAGUCCCUCCCAGUCCCUCCCAGCAUCUGGAGCCUUGACACAGUUUAAAGGGCUGGCUGUGUCCGCACAGAGCCGGGCCAGUGCUCACACACACACACACACAGACACACACACGCACGCACACAUUCACACAGCUAUCUAGGGCACCAGAAGGCCCAGGCACCGCCAAGGCAGAGGCUGCCCACUUUGGCACCACGAGGUGGGGCUGCACUGGCGCUUUGGGGGACAGCGAGAAAUGUGUGUGUGUGUUUGGUGGGAGAGAGGACUGGGUGGGGGUUAGGUGUGUGUGUGUGUGUGUGUGUGUGUAGACGGGAGGGGGGGCACCUGGCAUUCGAUAACAACCCUGGGAAAACGCCCAUUGCAUCUGAAGAGGAAGGUGCAUAGGGAGGGGGUGGUGGGGUGGGUAUAGUGUGUGUGUGUGUGUGUGUGUGUGUGUGUGUGUGUGUGUGUGUGUGUGUGUGUGUGUGUGUGUGUGGAAGGCACCAACCUGUCUUGGAGCGACCCAUCCUAGUGUUCUUAUGCUAAUGUUGUUUCUGUCGUAGCUUGGAGGACAGGUGCUACUUUUCAUCCACAGCUUGGCAUCGACAAAGAAGAAGAAGAAGAAGAAGAAGAAGAAGAAGAAGAAGAAGAAGAAGAACAGGAAGAGAUGCCUUCUUGUUCCUCAUUACUUUCCCUCUCGCUCUCUCUCGUCUGCCCCUAAAGUAACCCUCCACCUGCCCACAAAGGUCCAAUAAUAAUCCCCGAAACUUUAGGACACACACAAACCUACAUAUGCACAGAGGGCAGAGACGGGGUACUAUCUCCCUCUCUUGAAGCCGUUUGUGCCCCCUGCAAACAACCUCCCCCCCACCACACGCACACAGCCCCCGUACUAUACCCUCUCCUAUGUAGCACCACAGAUGCCCAUGUUGCCCUGCAACAGCUGUCUCACCAUGUGCCCUACCAAGUGUUGCCACCCAAUGGAGGGGAGAGGAAGUAAGGAGGGAGGGAGGGUGCUGGAUUUGGAUGGGAGGGACAGGGUCAUGAAUAUUAAUUUAGCUUUUUUCAUGCUAAAAAAAAGAAAAAAGGAAGCCGUUGUCAUGCUUUGUCUUGAUCAUCAUUGUAUAGUCUCAUUUUGUUUCAUUGCGUGGACUCAGUGUUUGUGUUUCCUCUUCUCCCUCAGUCUCUCUGAGUCGUCUGUCUCUCUCAUUUGGUUCUGGACUCGGUCGAUGUGAUGGCCAGCGCCCACCCUAAUACCCUACUACUAUAACCCCCCCACUCCGAAUCACAGGAAGCCCAUGCAAGCAGAGUGCAGAAGGAGGGGUCUUCGGACCGAGGGGCGCCCUCCCAUUGGUGCGGCAGGUUAGCGGCACGGGCGUUGACCAAUGAUCAGAAGAGGGACGCAUGGUAACAGCAGGGCGCAGAGAUGUGAGGGUAUUUUCAAAUGCAAACACUGGUCCAACAAGUCAGGUGCAGGAUCCAGACUGGAUUCAGUGACAGAACAAAAUGGAGGACCGGGAGACGAUGCGCCGCCAUUUUGAGGCACAAUAUUUUGGGUAUGCGUGCCAUGUGUCCUAAUCACGCAGAAAUAACCGUUGUAGACUUCAGGGGGAAGCCAGGGCACGAAAAAGGACUUCAGAGCAACUUUGCUUGUUUGCUAAAAGAAAGAAAUCUCAAAUGGCGAAACAAUAAAUUAAUAUUUAACAGUAUAUAUCUUUUUUUUGCACUUUCAGAAAACAAUGUGAUUGUUCAAGGUGUCACAGUCACCACUAAGCCUCUCUAAGCAUUCUGCUAAUUACUCAAAAUUCUGUUGCAGGCUGACAUCUGCGCUCACAGAGAUCGCCAUACCUGUGAUUAUUCUUUUUUUAAUUCUGAAAUUGGAAAAGUAAAGCAAACGAGGCGCAAGCGAUGCCAGGACAGAUGGAUCCAAGAGUGGAGCACUAUCCGAGAAACCGAUGCCACGUACACACACCCCCCUCCACCCGUGGUCCCUUGCUUCAUGUUAAAUAGAUGCAGCCGAGCACCGGAGACGCCCAAUUAAAGAAAACUAAUAUUCAAAAAAAGUUUUUUUUUUUUUUUAAGUAAAUGGGAAAAGUUGUGUGCGCGUGUGGCGCGGCCCGCUGCCUGUGUGUUUGUUCGUUUAAUUUUGAGGGGAUGAAAGCAGACAAGCAUAAAGAGGGGCAGACGUAGAGAGAUCACCACGCCGUGUACCGUAUUGGUGGGUAGCGUGCCACACAGUCUGCCUCCUAAAGCAAUAAAUCUGAAACAGCAUAAUAGAUAAACGCAACUCAGAACACAAAAUACCCUGCGAGGGAAAACUAAUAAAAAACGGAGCGAUUAAGUGGAAUCAGAGCUCUUAGGCAGUAUCUGGAGAUGGGGGGCUGUCACUAUACAAAGACCAGAUCGGGCCAACACAACAGAUGAGAGAGCAUAGGGACGGGGGGCCGAGAAAACGAGGGCUAAAAGCAGAGGGAGCGAGAGGCAGAUGAUGGAGGCGAGGAAGCGAGGGAUGGAGGAGAGAGAGAGAGAGAAGGGAUGGAUGGGGCAGCAGAUCAGAGGGAGCCUCUAGUGUGUCUUGCUCUCCCUUUAAAGAAGAGCCAGGAAAACAGAUUAGGAGUCCUCUUUUCUCCUGGGGGAGCACACACACACACACACACACACGCAAACACACGCAACCUCCAUUCAGCCGCUCUCCUUCUUCACGUAAACAUGGAACUAACUAACUUUUUACACGGCGCCCUCCGCUGACCUGCCCGGCCCAGAACAAAUCCACUCUGCGCUGAAGACAUGUCCCGUUUGCAGAGUGGGCGGAGACACGGGGACACAAUGGCAACUUGUGUGUGUGUGUGUGUGUGUGUGUGUGUGUGUGUGUGUGUGCGUGCGGCAGUUUAGGGUGACCUCACAUCAGGUCACGUUUGCUCACUGGUUAUGAAACAAAGAAGAGUGAUGUCAGGGAGUGUCUCACAAAUACAGGCCGCAGUGUGUCAGUGUGUCCUUGAGAGCAGGUUGAGCUUCUGCCAUUUGAACGGCAUUUAAUGAUAUUACUGAGAAUAUGUUGGUAAAUUACAAAAUUACAGAACACUGCUGCAAACAACUUCACAAACAAUAGAUGUGACCAUUGUAUUCAUGACAUGAAUUCAUUAUUAGUUCAGUUUAUGACUGCCCGUCAUUAAAAGAUUUUUUAAAUUGAUUUAAAAUCCAAUAAUAUACAAAAUUAAAAUUAAAUAACAGCAAAUCAUCACAUUGGAGAAAUGGUUUCUGGACCUAUGCCUUAAAAUACGUGAAUCAAUUAUAGGUGACAUUUUUUUAUAUAUUUUAGCAUUUAGGCAUUUGUCUGAGUAACUAUGGUGAUUAAGAUUUAUGGCCCCUCUCAUUAAAAAGUAUUGCUAUAGUUAAAUAUUUGCAGUAUCACUAACGGCGUUUGUGGCAACAUAUCCAGAAGAAAAAAAUACAGUUAAACAGUUUUGCAUAUAAUGUAAUACUAUGUUUUAGGUUAUUUUAAAUCAACCAGGUUUAAAAUACCUUUAAUAUUUAAAUAGCCGCAACGGUAUUUUUGCUGAUCAUCUAAAAACGUUGAGUAUUAUUUCAAACAAUAAUCUGUUGGGCACUGUUUGUUUUUUUUGAAGAUCCAAAAAUCAAGCUCAUGCUUCAUCAGUGUGCGUGUGCGUGAGCCCAGUCGGUCAUUUAUGAGCCACAACGACACGCUCGUCCCAGAAGGGUUCAGAGUGAGGUGUUCGUUGACGUGAAAGCAGCCAGAUGCAUCACUUCUCUUACUAAGUGUUAUUAGUCAAAUGUGCUUCAAACAUCCAGGCAUACAGCUCAUUUAGCACUACAUACAUAUAUAAUCCUAUUUAGAGCAUUACUGAUUAUGUUUGGUGUGAAAAUAUGAAUGCAAAGUGGAGUAAGUUGCUUAGCAGAAGUUUAAGAAAGCAGAUAAAGAAAAUACUCAC
ensembl:lncRNA